rnacentral:tRNA from 1 species
GGGGGGAUAGCACUGUGGUGUAGUGCUUUGAGUGUUGGACUGUGACUCUGGAAACCAGGGUUCGAUUCCCUGCUUGGCCA